UACAGAGGGGGCAAGCGUUGUUCGGAAUUACUGGGCGUAAAGGGCGCGUAGGCGGCCUUCUAAGUCGAACGUGAAAUCCCUGGGCUCAACCCAGGAACUGCGUCCGAUACUGGAAGGCUUGAGGCCGGGAGAGGUGAGUGGAAUUCCCAGUGUAGCGGUGAAAUGCGUAGAUAUUGGGAGGAACACCAGUGGCGAAGGCGGCUCACUGGACCGGAACUGACGCUGAGGCGCGAAAGCGUGGGGAGCAAACAGG
rnacentral:rRNA from 1 species